rnacentral:rRNA from 1 species
GAAAGCUAUAUGCNCUGUGAGAGAGCUUUGCGUCCCAUAGUUAUUGUGAGNUAACGGCUCACCAAGACGAUGAUGGGUAACCGGCCUGAGAGGGUGAACGGCCACAAGGGGACUGAGACACGGCCCUUACUCCUACGGGAGGCACAUGGGGAAUAUUGGACAAUGGACCAAAAGUCUGAUCCAGCAAUUCUGUGUGCACGAUGAAGUUUUUCGGAAUGUAAAGUGCUUUCAGUUGGGAAGAAGUCAGUGACGGUACCAACAGAAGAAGCGACGGCUAAAUACGUGCCAGCAGCCGCGGUAAUACGUAUGUCGCAAGCGUUAUCCGGAUUUAUUGGGCGUAAAGCGCGUCUAGGCGGUUUAGUAAGUCUGAUGUGAAAAUGCGGGGCUCAACCCCGUAUUGCGUUGGAAACUGCUAAACUAGAGUACUGGAGAGGUAGGCGGAACUACAAGUGUAGAGGUGAAAUUCGUAGAUAUUUGUAGGAAUGCCGAUGGGGAAGCCAGCCUACUGGACAGAUACUGACGCUAAAGCGCGAAAGCGUGGGUAGCAAACAGGAUUAGAUACCCUGGUAGUCCACGCCGUAAACGAUGAUUACUAGGUGUUGGGGGUCGAACCUCAGCGCCCAAGCUAACGCGAUAAGUAAUCCGCCUGGGGAGUACGUAC